GACGAACGCUGGCGGCGUGCUUAACACAUGCAAGUCGAACGGAAAGGCCCUGCUUUUGUGGGGUGCUCGAGUGGCGAACGGGUGGGUAACACGUGAGUAACCUGCCCUUGACUUUGGGAUAACUUCAGGAAACUGGGGCUAAUACCGGAUAGGAGCUCCUGCUGCAUGGUGGGGGUUGGAAAGUUUCGGCGGUUGGGGACGGACUCGCGGCUUAUCAGCUUGUUGGUGGGGUAGUGGCUUACCAAGGCUUUGACGGGUAGCCGGCCUGAGAGGGUGACCGGCCACAUUGGGACUGAGAUACGGCCCAGACUCCUACGGGAGGCAGCAGUGGGGAAUAUUGCACAAUGGGCGGAAGCCUGAUGCAGCAACGCCGCGUGCGGGAUGACGGCCUUCGGGUUGUAAACCGCUUUCGCCUGUGACGAAGCGUGAGUGACGGUAAUGGGUAAAGAAGCACCGGCUAACUACGUG
rnacentral:rRNA from 1 species